rnacentral:rRNA from 1 species
AGAGUUUGAUCCUGGCUCAGGACGAACGCUGGCGGCGUGCUUAACACAUGCAAGUCGAACGGUGACGAGGAGCUUGCUCCUCUGAUCAGUGGCGAACGGGUGAGUAACACGUGAGCAACCUGCCCCAGACUCUGGGAUAACAGUUGGAAACAGCUGCUAAUACCGGAUACGAGACGGAGAGGCAUCUCUACCGUCUGGAAAGUUUUUCGGUCUGGGAUGGACUCGCGGCCUAUCAGCUAGUUGGUGAGGUAAUGGCUCACCAAGGCGACGACGGGUAGCCGGCCUGAGAGGGCGACCGGCCACACUGGGACUGAGACACGGCCCAGACUCCUACGGGAGGCAGCAGUGGGGAAUAUUGCACAAUGGGCGAAAGCCUGAUGCAGCGACGCCGCGUGAGGGAUGACGGCCUUCGGGUUGUAAACCUCUUUCAGCAGGGAAGAAGCGAAAGUGACGGUACCUGCAGAAGAAGCACCGGCUAACUACGUGCCAGCAGCCGCGGUAAUACGUAGGGUGCGAGCGUUGUCCGGAAUUAUUGGGCGUAAAGAGCUUGUAGGCGGUUUGUCGCGUCUGCAGUGAAAAUCCGAGGCUCAACCUCGGACUUGCUGUGGGUACGGGCAGACUAGAGUAUGGUAGGGGAGACCGGAAUUCCUGGUGUAGCGGUGGAAUGCGCAGAUAUCAGGAGGAACACCGAUGGCGAAGGCAGGUCUCUGGGCCAUAACUGACGCUGAGAAGCGAAAGCAUGGGGAGCGAACAGGAUUAGAUACCCUGGUAGUCCAUGCCGUAAACGUUGGGCGCUAGGUGUGGGGCUCAUUCCACGAGCUCCGUGCCGCAGCUAACGCAUUAAGCGCCCCGCCUGGGGAGUACGGCCGCAAGGCUAAAACUCAAAGGAAUUGACGGGGGC